rnacentral:rRNA from 1 species
CCCUUAGAUGUUCUGGGCCGCACGCGUGCUACACUGAGUGGAUCAGCGGGUCAGGUUGCGCGAAAGCGUUUCCUAAUCUUUAAAUCCGCUCGUGAUGGGGAUUGACGGUUGCAAUUUUCUGUCAUGAACGAGGAAUACCUUGUAAGCGCGGGUCAUCAUCCCGCGCUGAAUACGUCCCUGCCCUUUGUACACACCGCCCGUCGCUCCUACCGAUUGAGUGGUCCGGUGAGGCUUUGGGAUCUGAGCGGAAAGAGCGUUUCGCGGUUUCUGCUCGGAAAACUCAGUCGAACCUUAUCAUUUAGAGGAAGGAGAAGUCGUAACA